UUUGAUCCUCUUUCUCAUGACUCCUCGGGGGAUAUGAUGACUCAGGGUGUUGCCCCUUGAGCAAAAGAACUGAGGAGGCAGCAGGUGUCAGGGAAUAGGCAAAGUUAACCCAAGUGAUUGGAUGAACUGGUAAGCAAUUGAUAAAACAGCCCUGUUUUCAAUUUUCCAAUAAGUGGCAUGUAAUCUAACUCUUUCUCACACCUGAAUAGGUAACACAUAUUUGAUUAUUCUUUCUGUACAGUUUUUAAAUUUAAUCUGGAACAAACUGUAAUUUCUUUGACAAUAAUAAUGAUAGUGAUUCAGGAAUAGCAGAAAUGGGUAAGGUUGGUAUUUCAGAUCAAGAAUGGAACCAUCAUCAGCAUGGCAGCUUUGUCCCUCUUUACCCUAAAAUGUUCAUGAUUUAAGAAAAUAUUUGGCAGCAGGAGAGAUUCCUUUCCUCAUUUAACUUGUUCUCAUAGAAUAGGGAAGUAUUGGUGGGGAUUCAGCUUAUGAUAUGAACCAUAUACUCUUAGAUGACACAUGUGAAAAUAGGCUUGUCUGGAUAGCAGUAUAGCAGCACCCCACAGUGUGGCCUGGACUCACCCUGAAAAUGCUAUGCUGACCUGUUGCCACGGUAAUGAUGAUGGACACCUUGCCUUCCAUUUCAACUGUCACUCUGUGAGCUGAGAGCAGUUAUUCCAUUACCACGGUGCUAGUGACGGUCCCCAGAGAUGGGAAACUGCUGUACAGGCUCUUGCCUCCUGGAUACAGAAAUAGUUCCUUCAAGGUCAAGACGAUCUAUUGCCCACUCCAACCAGUGCUGCAGAAGAGUCUCCCUGUGGCUGCUGGAAAGUGCACACCCUGGAGAGGAUGACGACGGAGAUUCCACUAAGGUCCUGAUGGAAGUUGCUCCCUGCAACACUACAGAGGAUGAGAAACAGUUUAUUGUCCAGGUGGAUUCCACAGCGAAUGGAAAUUUUCCCUCCAAGGUCUUGGUGGACUCAAUACCCCCAGACAGAGCAGAAGAGGAGGACCCACUGAAUGCCCUGGUGGACACCAGAAGAAUUGAUGAUGAUUCCCACAAUGACACCAGCGUGGACAAGGACUUGGGGUCCAGCGGCUCAGAGGACCUGGAGCUGCCAAAGGGCUGGGGAUGAGCAGCCUUUCCCUGGCCCUCCUCUCCAUAGUCACAUUACGAUCUGUUUGUUAAAGAACACUUUUGUGUGGAAGCUCUCCAGUUAAUGUUGGAUGUUUUAUUUUGUAAAUGUUAAAGGAUAUUUCAUGGCAUAUAAUUAAUGUUGGUUGUUUUAUAUUAAAUAAUAGUCUGCUACGACCAGUUGCUUUCAAACUUCUUCCUUUUUUUUUGGUACCAGGGAUUGAAUUUGGAACGUUUCGCUUGCAAGGCAGGCGGUGGAACCACUGAGGUAAAUCCCUAGCCCUCAAACUUCUUUCUGUAAAGCACAUCAUCGAAAAAAAUUCUAAACAAAAGUACAACUUCAUGGACUUUAAAGCAGUCACCCUAGUGAUCCCACUACCUCCACUCCCCUGUCCUACACCGAUUUUGUCUGCAGGAGGCAGAACAUGACACAUGGGUGGAUUCUCCAGGCCCACAGAUGUGCUAGCCCAGAUGUGGGCUGGACUUAGGGGACACAUGUCCCACUGGAUACUGACUCUUGACCUUGAAAAUCUUGGUAGUAGAGACCUUAGGUCACCUAAGAGACCAAGUGCUCAAACUGUAAACCAAAACCCAUUUAUUUAUCCCAAAGUGCCAACAGUGCAAUUAAACUUGAAUUCUGAUGUUUUAGUUUAGAAAAAUGAUAGGUCUCCCACCACCUUAGCAGCCAUUAUGUAUAGUAGCUGCCCUCUUCCUAUGGUGCCUCGCCCCCUCCCCUGUGUGACGUCAUGCCAAGAUGGUUGCUCCCACCAAAGAAUAAACCCUUCUUCCCAGCAUGCCCCUGGUCCCGCCUAGAGAGUAACCUAAUACUCGCUCACCUCCUACCACCUAGUGACAUCACUGGCUCCUCCAUUCCCUAGUCACUACCCCACUCAACCCCACCUCUGCCCCUACAAACCCCACCCCAGUCUCUAUAAAAGACUCUCCCUGCCCCAGCCAUGUUGCUUUUGUCUCACUUUUGUUCAGAGACAGCUUGGCAGAUCUAUUCCCCUAAUAAAGGCUUGUUGUGGCCUGGUCUGGUCUUGGUCUUUGGCCCUUUUACCUGACAAAAAAUAACUCA
rnacentral:lncRNA from 1 species